CCCUUAGAUGUUCUGGGCCGCACGCGCGCUACACUGACGAAUGCAACGAGCUUAUAACCUUGGCCGAAAGGUCUGGGUAAUCUCCAAAUUUCGUCGUGAUGGGGAUAGAUUAUUGCAAUUAUUAAUCUUCAACGAGGAAUGUCUAGUAAGCGCAAGUCAUCAGCUUGCGUUGAUUACGUCCCUGCCCUUUGUACACACCGCCCGUCGCUCCUACCGAUUGAAUGGUCCGGUGAAGCGUUCGGACCGUGGCCUUUGGACGGUUCGCCGUCUGUUGGCUGCGGGAAGUUCGUUAAACCUUAUCAUUUAGAGGAAGGAGAAGUCGUANCA
rnacentral:rRNA from 1 species